rnacentral:piRNA from 1 species
UGGACGGACGGAUGGCCAGAUGAAUCAAAACU